GACGAACGCUGGCGGCGUGCCUAAUACAUGCAAGUCGAACGCAGUGGGGACGGGUGAGUAACACGUGGGUAACCUCCCAUCAGAGGGGAUAACACUUGGAAACAGGUGCUAAACCGAUACUUGUGGAUGGACCCGCGGUGCAUUAGCUAGUUGGUGGGGUAACGGCGCACCAAGGCCACGAUGCAUAGCCGACCUGAGAGGGUGAUCGGACACACCGGGACUGAGACACGGCCCAGACUCCUCCGGGAGGCAGCAGUAGGGAAUCUUCGGCAAUGGACGAAAGUCUGACCGAGCAACGCCGCGUGAGUGAAGAAGGUUUUCGGAUCGUAAAGCUCUGUUGUAAGAGAAGCGGUAUCUUACCAGAAAGGGACGGCUAACUACGUGCCAGCAGUAGCGAUAAUAC
rnacentral:rRNA from 1 species